GACGUAGGAGGCGAGCGUUGUCCGGAUUCAUUGGGCGUAAAGAGCUCGUAGGCGGCUUGGCAAGUCGGGUGUGAAACCUCCAGGCUCAACCUGGAGACGCCACCCGAUACUGCCAUGGCUAGAGUCCGGUAGGGGACCACGGAAUUCCUGGUGUAGCGGUGAAAUGCGCAGAUAUCGGGAGGAACACCAAUGGCGAAGGCAGCUCGCUGGGACGGUACUGACGCUGAGACGCGAAAGCGUGGGGAGCAAACAGG
rnacentral:rRNA from 1 species